rnacentral:rRNA from 1 species
UGGGGAAUCUUGGACAAUGGGGGCAACCCUGAUCCAGCCAUGCCGCGUGAGUGAUGAAGGCCUUAGGGUCGUAAACUUCUGUCAGAUGGGAAGAAGGUUUGUAGGUUAAGAGCUAGUGAACUUGACGGUACCAUCAGAGGAAGUCCCGGCUAACUCCGUGCCAGCAGCCGCGGUAAUACGGAGGGGACAAGCGUUAUUCGGAUUUAUUGGGCGUAAAGCGCGCGUAGGCGGCUGACUAAGUCGGGGUGUGAAAGCCCCGGGCUCAACCUGGGAACUGCAUUCGAUACUGGUCAGCUGGAGUAUGGGAGAGGAUAGUGGAAUUUCCGGUGUAGCGGUGAAAUGCGUAGAGAUCGGAAGGAACAUCAGUGGCGAAGGCGACUGUCUGGCCC